rnacentral:rRNA from 1 species
AUUGAACGCUGGCGGCAGGCUUAACACAUGCAAGUCGAGCGGGGGAAGGUAGCUUGCUACUGGACCUAGCGGCGGACGGGUGAGUAAUGCUUAGGAAUCUGCCUAUUAGUGGGGGACAACAUCUCGAAAGGGAUGCUAAUACCGCAUACGUCCUACGGGAGAAAGCAGGGGAUCUUCGGACCUUGCGCUAAUAGAUGAGCUUAAGUCGGAUUAGCUAGUUGGUGGGGUAAAGGCCUACCAAGGCGACGAUCUGUAGCGGGUCUGAGAGGAUGAUCCGCCACACUGGGACUGAGACACGGCCCAGACUCCUACGGGAGGCAGCAGUGGGGAAUAUUGGACAAUGGGGGGAACCCUGAUCCAGCCAUGCCGCGUGUGUGAAGAAGGCCUUAUGGUUGUAAAGCACUUUAAGCGAGGAGGAGGCUACUUUAGUUAAUACCUAGAGAUAGUGGACGUUACUCGCAGAAUAAGCACCGGCUAACUCUGUGCCAGCCGCCGCAGUAA